rnacentral:rRNA from 1 species
AACGGCCGUACCAUGCUGAAUAUAUCGGUUCUCGUUAAAUCACCGAAGUCAAGCAUCAUUGGGCGCGGUCAGUACUUGGGUGGGUGACCACCUGGGAACACUGCGUGCCGUU